UUGAAAGCUGUAAAAGAGAGACGUAUCCUGGAAGGAACGGCAAGUAAGGAGGGUAGAAUAGGGAACGAUGUUCGUCUUGAGUUUGUUGAGUUUACUAACCGUGAAGACCAUCUUGGUCGGGAUGGCGGUAUUCCUGUUGGUGAUGACAUAUCUACAGAGGAAGAAGUUCAAACUGCCGCCAGGACCGCCACAGCUGCCGAUACUUGGGAGUUACUUUGAAUUUAGGAAAGAUGGCCGACUGUACUCCGUAUUUACAAAACUCGGAAAUUCAUUUAGUGACUUGUUC